rnacentral:rRNA from 1 species
GAUGAACGCUAGCGGGAGGCUUAACACAUGCAAGUCGAGGGGCAGCAUAGGGUAGCAAUACUCUGAUGGCGACCGGCAAACGGGUGAGUAACGCGUAUGCAACCUACCCUGUACAGGGGGAUAACCCGGAGAAAUUCGGACUAAUAUCCCGUAAUAAUAUCCGGAGGCAUCUUUGGAUAUUUAAAGUUCCGACGGUACGGGAUGGGCAUGCGUAACAUUAGCUGGUUGGUAAGGUAACGGCUUACCAAGGCUAUGAUGUUUAGGGGUCCUGAGAGGGUGGUCCCCCACACUGGUACUGAGACACGGACCAGACUCCUACGGGAGGCAGCAGUGAGGAAUAUUGGUCAAUGGGCGCAAGCCUGAACCAGCCAUCCCGUGUGCAGGAAGACGGCCCUAUGGGUUGUAAACUGCUUUUCCAGGGAGAGAAACUUACGCACGUGUUGCGUGACUGACGGUACCCUGGGAAUAAGCAUCGGCUAACUCCGUG